rnacentral:rRNA from 1 species
CAACGUGGGUAACCUGCCUUAUAGUGGGGGAUAGCCUUUCGAAAGGAAGAUUAAUACCGCAUAAGAUUGUAGUAUCGCAUGAUAUAGCAAUUAAAGGAGCAAUCCGCUAUAAGAUGGACCCGCGUCGCAUUAGCUAGUUGGUGAGGUAAUGGCUCACCAAGGCGACGAUGCGUAGCCGACCUGAGAGGGUGAUCGGCCACACUGGGACUGAGACACGGCCCAGACUCCUACGGGAGGCAGCAUG